rnacentral:lncRNA from 1 species
GAGGAAAACAAGUGCCAAAUUCUACAGUCAAAUGAUAUCAUCAUGACAAUUACAAAAUGUGGUCAGUAUAACUUUUUCAUUGAUACUCUCCAAGAAAUGAUCAACACUGCCAUAGAUGAGGAGCAGCUGCACCAAUCUGGGCUUCCCACUGAGUCCAUCCAGUACUAUUUCACCCUGGUUCAGUAGCCCACCCCUGUCCAGGCCCACAGGCAGCAGCAAAACUAGCAGACCACCAGCUCCAUGACCACCAUCCGGCUCAGGCAGAUCUUUACAGUGCAGCCUCAGAAGAGCCAAACAGGGAAGCUGCAGGUUGGGUAAGUUCAGCAGUUCGCACUGUCUAGAUCCAGCCACAGGAGCAAAUCCAGCAGACCCAGAAUGGCCCAGGACAGAACAUGCAGCUGAUGCAAUAGAACAGUACCAACAAAGCAAAGAACCUGCUGAAGCAAGACACCUGCUUAUCCCUGCUGGUAUCAGGCACUCAGACACUUUCUACCAGUGCUCAACAGAACAUACAGACAGAAAUCCAACCAGAACAGCAAUCGUUCAGCCAGCUCCUAGAUGAACGGCAGCUCUCUUGGACCCUGUGAGUGACCAUGAUAGCUGUCCAGGAUGUCAUCCAGUGCAUGUUUAUCCAAUAAGCCAGCC